GACGAACGCUGGCGGCGUGCAUAACACAUGCAAGUGGUGCGACGAACCAGGCUUCGGCCUGGGGCAGAGCCGCGAACGGGUGAGUAACACGUGGGUAACCUGCCCCGAUGACCGGGACAAUCCGGGGAAACCCGGGCUAAUACCGGAUGAGCUCUCCGCCCUUUCGGGCGGCGCGGAAAGGUAGCUUCGGCCUCCGCAUUGGGAUGGGCCCGCGGCCCAUUAGCUUGUUGGUGUGGUAACGGCUCACCAAGGCGACGAUGGGUAGCUGGUCUGAGAGGACGAUCAGCCACACUGGGACUGAGACACGGCCCAGACUCCUACGGGAGGUAGCAGUGGGGAAUCUUGCGCAAUGCGCGAAAGCGUGACGCAGCAACGCCGCGUGGGGGAAGAAGGCCUUCGGGUUGUAAAUCCCUUUCAGUUGGGACGAAGCCUUCCCUGGUUAAGAGCUAGGGGGGUGACGGUACCUUCAGAAGAAGUCCCGGCUAACUACGUGCCAGCCGCCGCUGUAAUAC
rnacentral:rRNA from 1 species